rnacentral:rRNA from 1 species
AGUGAACGCUGGCGGCAGGCCUAACACAUGCAAGUCGAACGAGAGGCGGACGGGUGAGUAAUAGAUUGGAAACUACUCAGUCGAGGGAGAUGACGUGGGGAAACUUAAGCUAAUACCGCAUACGAUUGUAUGAGCCGAUGUCGGAUUAGAUAGUUGGCGGGGUAAAGGCCCACCAAGGCGAAGAUCCUUAGCUGGUCUGAGAGGAUGAUCGGCCAAACUGGAACGGAUACACGGCCCAGACUCCGACGGGAGGCAGCAGUGGGGAAUAUGGGGCAAUGGGCGAAAGCCUGAUCCAGCCAUGCCGCGUGAGUGAAGAAGGCCUUCGGGUUGUAAAGCUCUUUUGUUGGGAAAGCGGUAUCCAAAGAAUAAGCACCGGCUAACUUCGUGCCAGCAGCCGCGGUAAUAC